rnacentral:lncRNA from 1 species
CCCCUCUGUGGUGGGAUGUGAAACCAGAGCCGCUCUUAGGUUUGCCAAGUCUCCCCACAGUUGCUUCUCGAAGGUCCACAUCUACAGUUUGGUGGCAGGCCUGCGUUCCCUGGAAAUGGCAUUCCAGAAAGGAGGGUGCAGCCCUGGCUAGGACGCUCUGUCAAUAGGAUCCUUUCCAGAGGAGUGGGGGAACUUGGCUGGAAGCCCAAGCCUGGUGCUCCACAAUUGAAUUCACUAACAAGCCCGAAGUAAACUAACCCUGACCCACCAGGUGUGUGAGAUGUGUGUGGAAACCUGCAGGUUGGGCUCCUAGCCCCAGCCAGGUGCAGCUUGGUUCAGAGACCCUGCCAGGGCUACAGGACACCUGCAGAAAUUCUACAAAAGGAAGUCAAGCCCAGGAGGAUGCCUGAAGAUGGGGAAAGCUAAAGAUAACCUUGGGGUUCUGAUCCUUCUGCCUGCACCUCAGGAGUACUGGGACCACACUAGCUACAAAUUAAACGAAAGCCUGGAUCCUCCCCUGUCCUUUCUGUCAUGAGAAGGCACGACAGAGGGAUACUUUUCAAUGAGCCACGACUCCAGAUCCUUAGGGUCCUGAGUGCUGGUCUUCCUGCUAGAGCUGUCACCAGCCAGUUCCUGGUAUGUAGAUGCUGCCAAGUCCCUGGUGCUUUGUAGCUGUACCCUACACAGACUAAGAUGCCCAUUUGCUUAGAAGGGGUGAUGGAGGGAAGCAGAGAAGGGCUGCCUCAGAAAGCAGUGACUGGAACUGCUUGCUGGGCAUUAAUUCCUAAUCUCCUAAGUCGCUGGGAGGGGCUUGGAAAUGUGAUAUCUAGGGACCUCCUGGGAAGGAGGCUCUAAACUGGAAUGUCUGCUAUUCAGAACAGUGGGAGACAGGCUCACAACCUCAGCCCUAUCUCCUAGGUCAUGUGCAAAGCAGUGGGAGCCAAAGUAACACCUUCUGGUGCGAUUUCCCACAUGGACAGCCUGGCCUCCAUCUGUGUGGUCCAGAAUACUGAGAGUGAGCCACCAGUUUGUGUGUGUGUGUGUGUGUGUGUGUGUGUGUGUGUGUGUGUGUGUGUGUGUGUACUAUAUAGUCACUGCUACUGAAGAUAAAACUGCAAUUCUGUUUAAUUUAAAUAGCUGCCUGGGCUAGCAGCUGCUGUGAUGUGCCUUCUGGUAUUUGGCAUGUUGGAAGACUUGCUGUCUAAGCUAAUGGAGGGACUCAUGCCUUUUUAAUGGCUGUGUACUAUUCCAUUGUAUGGUGUGGGUUACCCCAUCACUCCCGGGGCUUGGGUAUUAGUUCUUUUCCCAUUCGAUUUCAAUAUGCAAACAUGCUUUGAGUAUUUGUGUAUAGACCUCUUUGCAUAUGAGCAGCAUACAUGCAGCAGAGUAUGGAGCAGGCUGUGACCUUUUCUUCCUUCCUCUUUUUCUUCAAACUUCAUAGCAAGAGCUUAGCCCCUAUAUCCCACUGGCAUGGGUUUAGCCAUGUGACCUGCUUUGCCUGGAGUAUGAGGAUGCUGCCAAUAGUGGUCAACUCUGAAUUCAGGAUGCAAGAGACCUUGGAAGUCUCCAUGUGUCCCCCUGUCCUUCUGUAAUCCCAGGAGAUUCACAUUCUCUUAGUAGCUACUGGCCCAAGAAACCAGAGGCAUAGUCUGGAGCUUGGACGUGUCCAGUCUGGAGCAGCCCAUCCCUGGUCAUCAAGCAAUAAAAGAAAUACGGGCAGUUUUCCCAGCAGAGGCUCCAAGGGCAACAGGGAGGUGACUGAAGCACCUGAACCAGGAAGCUAUGAGCAGUGACCUUUCUUAGAGCCCUGCUCUUGAGAGGGGAAUACCUUCCAUUCAGUGGACAUGGCCAGCUGUGCAGAGGUCCAGUCACCAGCAGUUCCAGUGGGGAACAUGCCAUGACUUGAUGUGAUUUGAGUACAACUUCCUGAUUCCCGUGUGAGAAGGUGGUUUGGCCCCCUUAAGAGACGCUGGGGGUGGGGGGUGCACGCCUAUGGGAGGCAGAGGCAGAGGCAGGUGGAUCCCUAUGGGUUCGUUUGAGGCCAGCCUGGUCUACAGAGCGAGUUCCAAGACAAGCUCCAAAGCAAUACAGAGAAACCCUGUCUUGAAAAUCCAAGAGAGAGAGCCUCAAAAGGCAUAUUGUGCACAUACAUACAGGCAAACCUCAUACACAUAAAAUAAAAGUGAAUCUUUUUUUUUAAAGGGGAGGAACCUUGUGAAAGACAAGUAGGUCUUUGAGAGUUCAGCCCUGGGAAGGCCAGAUACAGAGCUUCCAGAAUGAUUAAUUAGUCUUCCUGAGGUUUGAUACCAGGAGAGCUCUGCCCCUUUCUGUGCUCUGGCUUCUCUCCCUCCACUAGAUCUUCGUCUUGUGUGGGCUCCGUGAUGGGAUUCACCUCACUGUGAUAUAAUUGGCAUAAUCAGUGCAGAGACUUCACCAAAGCAUGGCCUGUCCUAUCAGUCUCCAGGAUGGUGGGAACAAACCCUUUUCUUCCAAAGUUCCUGGCUCUAGGACCCCGGAAGCCUUUCUAUUCCCAGGAUGCUACUUGUACCUGGGCCCCAGAUGGGUCCUCAUCAGAUGGAAGCCAGUGGAGUGAAGGAUUUCCUUUCACAUUGAAGGUGAUUGGUUUCCACUCAGCACUACCUCUGCCAGCCUUCCUGCCUUGCCUCCUACAUUGUUGGGAUAAAAGGAAACCAUGCCCAGGUCCUCAGCUCAGUACACCGAAUGAUGGAAUGCCCGAGCAGGGAGGCUCAGAAGAGAGACUUUGGAAGAAACUCUGGUUAGGACUCUCCCCUGCACAGUGCACCCCAAAGGACUGUGCCUGAUACUCUUCUACAGUGUCUCCAUUUCUUAGAUGUCACAUGAAGAAACACAUGCCCAGGAUGAGAAAAUAUGGAAGCUCUCAGUCCAUGAUGGAGCCUGGGGAAGCCUUCCACAACUCACUGCUCCCCGCUUCUCUGGAGGAAAGAGGGAAGGAUGGGGUAUCUGAGGGACUGAUGAUUGAACAGAGCUGGUCCUAGCUCCAGCGCCUCCAAGCUACCCUGGGCUUGCACUGUACCUCCCCUCCUACCUGGAUGGGACUCUGCCAGGUGGUACAGAACUUGGCCCCAGGCUGGCUGGGUUCUUAGCUGAUUCUGCACCCCUAAUAAGUCUCAGCCGGGGGCUAAGUCACACCCUCAUUCUCUUUUAAUUAUUCAGGACCUGACACAUUGCCUGGGAAUACAUCACUCAGAGUACAUGGUGGUAAAGAUUAAAUAUUAGAGGCAAGUCUUUUAAUUAAUUUUUAAUGUGUUCUUUAGAACAAUUCUUCAUACCUAACCACACGCUGAAACAGAGUACUUAAAAGAAAAAUUAAUGUUCAGGGUCUCAGGGGUUUGUG